rnacentral:rRNA from 1 species
GCUACCAUGCAGUCGAGCGGAACGACACUAACAAUCCUUCGGGUGCGUUAAUGGGCGUCGAGCGGCGGACGGGUGAGUAAUGCCUAGGAAAUUGCCUUGAUGUGGGGGAUAACCAUUGGAAACGAUGGCUAAUACCGCAUAAUGCCUACGGGCCAAAGAGGGGGACCUUCGGGCCUCUCGCGUCAAGAUAUGCCUAGGUGGGAUUAGCUAGUUGGUGAGGUAAUGGCUCACCAAGGCGACGAUCCCUAGCUGGUCUGAGAGGAUGAUCAGCCACACUGGAACUGAGACACGGUCCAGACUCCUACGGGAGGCAGCAA